rnacentral:rRNA from 1 species
GGUUUAAAGCAGGGGACCUUCGGGCCUUGCGCUAUAGGAUGAGCCUAUGUGGGAUUAGCUAGUUGGUGAGGUAAAGGCUCACCAAGGCGACGAUCUCUAGCUGGUCUGAGAGGAUGAUCAGCCACACUGGGACUGAGACACGGCCCAGACUCCUACGGGAGGCAGCAGUGGGGAAUAUUGGACAAUGGGCGGAAGCCUGAUCC